AAUUGCAGAAUUCAGUGAAUCAUCGAAUCUUUGAACGCACCUUGCGCCCCUUGGUAUUCCGAGGGGCACACCCGUUUGAGUGUCGUGAAAAUCUCAACCUUCUCGGUUUCUUCUGGACACCGAAGGAGGCUUGGACUUUGGAGGCCUUUGCUGGCGUCUCUCUCUUUUGAAAGGCCAGCUCCUCUCAAAUGAAUUAGCGGGGUCCUCUUUGCCGACCCUCGACAUGUGAUAAGAUGUUUCCAUGUCUUGGUUUAUGGCUCUGUUGCCUUUGGGACCUGCUUCUAAUCGUCUCUCUGAGAGACAAUGUUCGAGCGUGUCUCCCUUCUCGGGAAACACUCUCGAACCCACGAACCCUUGACCUCAAAUCGGGUGAGACUACCCGCUG
rnacentral:misc_RNA from 1 species